UCCGGUCUCGAUAGCGGAGUGGUACAACCUGAUCCCAUUCCGAACUCAGAAGUUAAACGCUCCUGCGCCGACGAUAGUAUACCGGCAACGGUAUGCGAACAUAGGUCAAGGCCGGAA
rnacentral:rRNA from 1 species